UUAACAGCUCGCACAGCAUUCCUGUUGAUGUGUUGUUGCUGAGAGCACUUUCCAGUAAUCUUUCUGCACACAAAUCACCAGCUCAAUCUGUUUCCUGGGGAACUUGAACUACAACAGAAUGAUACUGGGGAGUUUGCAAAAUCAAACUAAACAUAGGCAGCAGGAAGGACACAAAGCAGGGGAGCCCCAGAAAUCUUAGUGGUAGAAACUUUUAAACCUCUUAGGGUACCACCAGGGUAUCUCUGCUCAAUAUUUAAAUCCCUGGAAGGGAGCCUCUGAUUGGCCUUGUUUGGGUUGGGAAUCAGGGCCCUGUGAUUAGAACUACCUGGGGUAGUGGAGAGGAAAGAGAAGCAACCUGUGUCUUCCAGACCAUGGUAUCUGAAGUUUUCUUGGAGGAAGUCAAAUAAAUAUGUGGGUUGAGGAUGGGAGCUCUAAGCAGAGGAUGUGGUGGCUCAUUUAAGAUCACACAUUGACAAAGAGCAGAGUGGUGUCAAGAUUCUGGGACAGAGGCAAGUUAGAAAUAAAACUCUUGUUUUUCC
rnacentral:lncRNA from 10 species